CGAUUUUAAGUGACAUUCACUAUAUGUAUACAUAUAUGCAUGUAUUGUAUAUAAAUGUAUAUAGGAAUAUCUAUAGAGCAUAAUUACUCCUAAAUAUUAGGCUAUGAGUAAACUCUUAGUUCGAUAAUUACGCUGAUGUGAAAAAUAUGAGGAUAGGAAGAAGAGAUAGAUAAAUAUAGGACUAGAAAAAAAGGGAACGAAGACGUUAGCAAGCUGGUUGAGAAUAUCCAGGUCAACGAUAGUAGAAGGAAGGAAGAAUUUUAAUCAGGACAAAUUUUCGAGACUCUGUGUGCCCUUUUGUUUUAGCCUCUUCUGUGUAUCCAGGUCGUGUUUUAAACUUUCUCAGUUCGUAAUUGCACGCAAACGUGUAACCCGUCUACUCUUACGCAUAAAUCCUUUUGUGACGAAAAGGAAAAUAGAAAGAAAAUAAAGAAGAAUAAAGA
rnacentral:lncRNA from 1 species